rnacentral:lncRNA from 1 species
UGAAAGUGUACAUUUCUUGAAGGCUUGUCAAGAUUCAAUAAUGAUGAAAGCCCACCUAUCUUGAAGGCUUAUCAUCAGCAAUCAUUUUAUUUUCUUAUUUAAUUUUGAUUGCUCUGGUCUUUUACUCAUUUUGCUUCGUCGUUUGAUUUGUAUGUGGUAUCGGCGUGUUUGAUCACGCUUAUUAUAAAAGUCAUUGCAAUGGGAUUAUUUUUCUUUGUUUCUUAUAGGGUUGCAUGAUUAUACGAUGAGAGUGUUUGUCUAUGUUGUUGUGGCGUUUGUAUUUUACUUAAAACACAGAUAUAACAAUAUUUGAUAACAAAAAAAACCAAAUUACGCAUUUGAAAUGCUCGAAAACGAAAGCAGGUCCUACCUGUUUCUUGCGGCUGCACCAUGCAGCACUGUUUAGUGAACAAUGCAUCAUCCCUUCAUAAUAGUACUGUUCACUAAAAUGAAUAGUACGAGUGAAUUUUAAUUCACUUCACGUGAACAAUGUUUUUUUUUAACCUUUUUUUUUUUGAAAAAUUAGUUAACAUAUAUAUAUAUAUAUUUUUUAAAUUGUAAUUUUUAUUUUUUUUAAAAAAUUUAGUUUAAGAUGAAUUAAAUUUAUUCGUAUUGUAAUCUCAAUUUUAUUCCUGAUAAUAUUUUAUCUAAUUUUUUUUAUGUAAAGUAUGAUUUAUUUCACGAUGUAGUAGCAAUAAUUAAAUUUAAAAUAUUUAAAUUAAAAACAUAAAUAUUAAUAUAUAUUUUUUAAAAUUAUUUUAUAACCUCAAUUUCAAAAGCAUUUUUAACCAAACAUAUUAAAUUAUUUUUUGUUUAAUCUCAAUUUCAACCACAGUUUUAACCAAACACUUAUUUUUUUCAAACCAAUCUCAACUAAAAAUACUUUUUAUAAAAUAAUUUUUUUCAAAUCACAACCAUAACAACUAAAAUUGAUGCAAACGAUAUAUAUACUGUUGAGAUUCAAUAUAUAUAUAUAUAUAUUUUUAAAUUCAACUGCUUAAUGCAAAAUUUAAAUUAAAUUCAACGUGUACUUAGGUCUAUUUAUAUUACUGCAAUCUUGUCCUUGAAAAAAUGACUGCUAAAUUACUCUAUAAAAUUUAUCUGAAAUGUAAAUGAGAGCUUCUGCUUCAAAAGAAUUUACAAGUAACUAUUCCAAAUUUUUUCCAGAGGAACGUGCAAAUCAUUCAUCCAGAUUAAUUUUGAGAGGCAGAUCAUUUAACAUAGCAGAACAAGAGAGGGGUAUAGAAGAGACAUAAUUUCCUUUCAAUCUGAUAUGAUUUACUUGCAUCUUCUGCAAUGCCUCUCCAGAUUCUGUCAAAACCAAAAUAUGGUGGUCACAAAUUCUCACCUCCUGUAUAUUUAAUUUGAUUUGAUUUCUUUGUUUUUACAUGUUCCGCCUGAAGAAAACUCAACAGGCAUAUGACAGUGUCUUGUCUCAAUAAAUUAUACUGUUUUGAAUCUGGCUUUACAGUACAGAAUGAUUGGUGAACUUUGACAAUGGUUUCAAACUUGAGAUGACUUCAUUUCAAUGCUAGAUUACUAAUGACCACACAGAAGACGAGGUUGGCUCCAAGAAGUUUCCGAACAAAGAUUUUUUUUUUUUUUUUUACCAAAUUCACAUCCAAAUCUUUGUCAAAUCAUCACGUUACACCAACACCAUAGCGUUGCUUCUUUGGCAUUUACGAUGUUCCGAUGUUUGGUUUAGGCUUCUCACAUUAUCACCGUGUCACAGUGAAAAGAAAGCAAAAGCGGAGUGUGGAAUCACGGUAUGGGCAUCGAGGAGCUGCAGUUGAGGACACCUUCUUACCUUGCAUGCUGGAUGCUGAAAGGAACCUUACAAGAUCAUCCCAUGGUAGGUUUGUUCCUCCUUCGAUGUCAGAGUCAAUCCCAUCAAGAACGGUAGGGCCAAGUGGGAUGAGUGUUUGGUAUUUUUGUUAUGUUUGUGGUUGGGAUUUUAAGAAAAUAAUUUAAUAAAAAUCAUUUUUAAUUGAAAUUUGUUUAAUAAAUUUAAGUGUUUGAUUAAUAUUAUAAUUAAAAUUGAGGUUGAACAAGAAAUAAUUUUAUAUAUUUGGUUAAUAUGUUUUUUAUAUUAAGAUUUGAUUAUGAAAUUACUUAAAAGAAUAUACAUUCAUAUAUAUAUAUAUAUAUAUAUGAUUGCAAAAUAUUGUAGUUUUAUAAUUAUAAUUACAUAACAAAAUGAAUAAUUUUUGUACAUUAUGUUUUUUUUUAUUAUCCCAUCAAACUAUUUGUAAUUUCAUUGCGUAUAAAAUCCAUACGUGAAGGCCUCUACGAUCUUUGACUAUCUAAGUGAACUACAAUAUCUUGUAAAAAAAACAUUCGGAAUAAAAUUGGUAUUGCGAUCAUAUUUAACAAAAACCACAUCAUCUUGUGAUCUCCUUCUAAUAUAGUUAUGUAGUGUCAUUGAUGCAACUAUGAUCUCAACUUGCGUUUUAUAUGGAUAAGCAGACAUGUUUUGCAAAAUUCUUCAUCUCUUCUUCCAUACUCCAAAAAAACACUCUAUCACAUUACAUAGUGAUGAGUGUGUAUGAUUAAACACUUCUUCCUGACCACUUGGUUGUCCACGAAGCUUAAAAUCUUGUAAGUGAUACCUCUCAUCUUUAUAGGGAUCUAAAUACCCAUACUCAUUGGGAUAUCCAAUAUCAACCAAAUAGUAUUUUCCUACAAAUAAGAACAACAUGCUAAUUGUUUUCAAUAACUAUAAAAGAAUAUUAUCUAACUUCAAUUAUCAGCUCUUCAAUUUAUAUCAAAUCACAACCUUCCGGUAGUUUUGGAAACUUUAUAUUAUUACUGUCAAUGGCCUUAGAAAAAUACGUGUAUCGUGUGCGCUGCCUUCCCAUCCUACCCACAUAAUACGAACUGCAUGUCAAAACUAUAAGCAGUCAUGAUGUUUUGUGUUGGUACACAUUUUCUUUCAAUAAAUAAAAUUUGAUUAUCAGAUGAUAUGCAGGCACGAACAUGUGUGCCAUCAAUUGUACCGACACAAUUCUAUAAAAAAAAAUAUAAGUAAUUAGGAAAAUUAAUUAAAUAACUGAUAUUCAUUUAAACAACAUAGAAAAAAUUAGGUCUUACCUUGAAAUAUUGCAUAUAUCUUAGAUUCAUUGCAAUUUCUCUUGGGGUGUUGGUAAAUUAUCAAUUUACUGGUUUUAUGACUUCUACAACAAACAAACAUAAUGAUUUAAGGACUUCUUUUAUACAUCUACUAAAUGUUGAAAUCUCUGUUGCACUUCCCUAUUUGACGCCCCUAAUACUAUUAUAUAUAGAAACAUUAUCACCUUUUUAAUAACGCUCAUUUUUCUUGAAGGUUUUAAGCCAUAACGUGUUUCUAAAUCAUUACAUAGACUUAACAGAGUCCAUCCUAAACAUGUUAACAUAUUGUUUUCAAUAACCUCUUAAAAUUUCAUUCAACCAACGCAUCCAUAUAUUGUAUGAAACAAUACAUGGUUUUUUAUGCAUAAAAUUAAUAUAAUACAUGUUUACAGCUCUAGUCGUGCAUAUAAUUAAUUUAUUCAUAUCAAAUUGUCUCCUUUAAAAAAAUUCACCAUCAUCAUCACUUUCAUCGUUACCAUCAUCAUCAUCAUCAUUACUGUCACCAUCGUUGUUGUCAUCGUCAUUGUCGUUUCCAUCAUCGAUUUAUAUCUAACCAAAUACUAUAAAAUCACUUUCAUCGUCGUCUCAUUCGUCAUUGUCAUGGUUUAUAUCUAACAAAAUACUAUAAAAUCGUGUUUUAACAUAACCUCACCAACAGCCGCAACGCCAAACAUCUUUAAAGAGUGCCCCCAAAGAAAUUGUUCUAAGGGUAAGCUGCUACUUACUUUGUUUCUCUUUUGAAGUAAGAUAGUUUUAAUUUGAAAUUUGAACAUACCUCUAUAAUUUUAGAUUAGUCGUGGCCAUUUAUUAAUAAUGCUCUAAUAUUAUAUUAAAAAACCAUUUUAAUUCAGACAUUUAAAUUUUUAGAUGAUACUCUAAUAAUAAUUUUAUAUUACUAUUUAACAUCCUCCUACGAAAAGCACCACCUUGAUACCUUUUGCUUGACAUGAUUUUAUGUUGGAGCUUAAAUCUGUGCAUCCAUUGUUGUAUGGAUAGCAAUGGCCAGCAAGGCUGAUCAUGGGAGUCUGACCGUUUCCAAAAGUCAACAGGAAAGAUAGGUUCACAUAGUCGUAGUUUCCUGUGGCACAAGUCUCCGCCAAGGUGCUCUCGUUUCCUUUCUGACCCCAUUAGAUUGCUAUCCACCAGCUUCUGAGCCAACCAGUAUUGUCAUAAUUAAACGAUAAGAGGAAUGUUAAUAAGAUUGCUGACCCUUGAUGCCAUCUACUCAUCAAGAAUGCAAGUGUUUGGUGAGUCACUCACUAUUCACUACAGUACUUUUUCAAGAUUUGCCGUGUUGGUGCUUAAACUGUUCUCAAAAGCUUAUCGUUUAUAGUGGAAAUUAACCGAAUCCAACACGAUGGCCACAAACUUGUUCUAUGGUGGAAGAGUGCGUAGCUUAGCAGUCACUUUGUUGCUUCCAGUACUACGCUGUUGAACGGAGCUGGAUGGAGGCAUGUAGCUUAUUUGAAGACAACAGGUUUUCUCAUGUUCAAAUAUCAAUCGUAAUGGCCGAUGAACUCUCCUUAUGCAUUGUCUGUUGUUUUGUGGUCGUAUAUUUGUCUUCUUCACUUUUUGAGCAUUAUGUGAUAAAUCAGUCAAUAACCGGAAGGUUAAGUGAACAAAUAAGGAAAACUGGAGAAGUUAAAAGAAAAAUCAGUAACAUAGAUAUCUAAUUUGAGCGACAAGGGUCGUCCUUUUUUGUGAUCUUGAUCUUCUUUUACAAUUUCAGUUUUUUCUGCAAUGGUGUCAAUAUUUGGAUCCAGAGCAUAAUGCCUUCUUGUAUAUUCUGCUUCAGUUUGAACGUUAUCAAAGGAAUUGUUAAGAAUUAUGAAACCAUGAAGAGAGAUGCUUCAAAGAAACUAGAUACAUAUGUAGAAGAUAGAUCAGCAUAUAUGGAAAUACAACUGAUACCCAUCACACAAAACGGCCACGCAGAAUUGACAGAAAUUUGAGAUCAGACAUCAUUUUUAAUCGAAGAACUGUAUCCACUUUGAUCAUCGUAGUACUUGGACCAGAGCAUCACGCCUCCAUACCUGGAAGAGUCCUUAAUGGAUGGAAGCACGUUUGAUGUGAGAUCAGGGACAGGAAUGAAGCCACUGCCUGCUGCCUCGGGAGAUGCAGGCAAGCCCAAGAAAAUCUUGCUGGCUGGAAUGGCUGAAGUCCGUUGUUUCCAUGCGUCCUGAAGAUUGGUGACCUCACCAGAAGCAUAUUGACAGGGAGGGUUGUUGUAGAAUUGGACCCAAACAUAAUCGAAAAGACCGGUUUUGAGGGCAUUUCCCACCCAAGCAUCAGGGAAUGGGCACCGCGGAGCUGCCGUUGGGUGCACCCUUUGACCUUUCUUGCUAAAUGCUGACAGGUACCUUGCAAGAUCAUCCCAAAUGAAUUUUUUUAUCAUUGUAUUUUUUUAUUUGUAUUACUUAAAUUAGUUGAUUUUAUUAAGCUUAGUUAAGUCAAUAAUCCAAAUCUUAUUAAAAAAAAAACACUUGCAUUACCUUAAUAUUUUUUCAUAUUAAAAAAGUUUCAAGUCAGUCAAGAGCUUCUGUAGAGUAAUAACAAUAAUAAAUACUUAACAUGUUUUUUUUUUUUAAUUUGGAUGUCCGGGCCAGUUUGUGCGUACCUUAAUUAAUCUCACGGGCCCUGAAGCUAACGACCAUGUAAGCCUUUAGUGGCCAUCAUAUAAGCAAUCACAUGAUUCGAACCUGAAACCACAGAAAAAACAAACAUGUUAGUUCCAAUUUCUUACCAUGUUGUGUGAGUAUAUGUUUGGCUUUAACGGUCAUCCUGUCAAGGGUGGUUUGUUUUCGAUGCUAUGAUGUUGUACCCCUUUCGAUGUUAUCAGGUUAACCCGAGUUGAUUCAGAUAUUUUGUAUUAUUUUUUAGUUAAUUAUUAAACAUUGAGUUGUUUAAUAAUUUAGCUUCAUAAUUUUAUCAAGUUUGCUUUUGAAGAACUUCAUGAGUUUUUUCACAUUGUCAAUUUUUCUUGUUGUUAUAUUUAUUAUCAUUGUAUUUUUUUAUUUGUAUUAUUUAAAUUAGUUGAUUUUAUUAAAUUUAGUUAAGUCAAUAACCCAAAUCUUAUUUUUUUAAAAAAAUACUUGGAUUACCUUAAUAUUUUUUUAUAUUUAAAAAGUUUCAAGUCAGUCAAGAGCUUCUGUAGAGUAAUAACAAUAAUAAAUACUUAACAUGUUUUUUUUUUUUUAUUUUGGGUGUCCAUACCAGCUUGUGCGUACCUUGAUUAAUCCCACGGACCUUGAAGUUAACAACCAUGUAAGCCUCUAGUGACCAUCAUAUGAGCAAUCACAGGGUUCGAACCUGAAACUACAGAAAGAGCAAACCUCUUGGUUCCAAUCCCUUAUCAUGUUGUGUGAGUAUAUGUUUGGCUUUAACGGUCAUCUUGUCAAGGAUGGUUUGUUUUCGAUGCUAUGAUGUUGUGCCCCUUUCGAUGCUAUCAGGUUAACCCAAGUUGAUUCAGAUGUUUUAUAUUAUUGUUUUAGUUAAUUAUUAAACAUUGAGUUGUUUAAUAAUUUAGCUUCAUAAUUUUAUUCAGUUUGCUUUUGAAGAAUUUUAUGAGUUUUUUUACAUUUUCAAUUUUUCUUGUUGUUAUAUUUAUUAUCAUUGUAUUUUUUUUUUUUGUAUUAUUUAAAUUAGUUGAUUUUAUUAAACUUAGUUAAGUCAAUAACCCAAAUCUUAUUUAAAAAAAAAAAAUACUUGCAUUACCUUAAUAUUUUUUUAUAUUAAAAAAAUUUCAAGUUGACUUCUGUAGAGUAAUAACAAUAAUAAACACUUAACAUGUUGUGUGAGUGUGUGUGGCUUUAACGGUCAUCCUGUCAAGGGUGAUUCGUAUUGGAUGCGAGCGUGUUUGGUACUGCAUUUUAAAAAUAUUUUUGAAAAAAUUUGAAUUUUUUUUUGCUUUGAAUUAAUAUAUUUUUGAUGUUUUCAAAUUAUUUUGAUAUACUAAUCUCAAAAAUAAUUUUUUAAAAAUAAAAAAAAUAUUAUUAAUAUAUUUUUUUAAAUAAAAAACACUUUAAAAAACAUUCACAGCUAUAUUUUCAUGUAUAAAAGAUGCUGUGCCCCUUUUGCCUAUCGUCGAGGGGUAAUGAGCCGUGACGACGUGCAUGAUUUCUCACAUGAACAUCAGAGGGUGGAAGGUUUGGAAGCCAUGUUUUGUUUUCUAAAGAAGUAGGAUGUUAGAAUAAAUAUAGAAAAAGCAUGUGAAGCAAAAUUUAUUGAAAUUAGUUACCCGUUUAUUUAAUUGGAAGUUGAUUAAAAAGGCAGAAAAAAAAAGGAAAUGGAAAACAGUGCCUAUAAGGAAAAACUUUACGUACAGUCAAAGCAUUUUUGUUAUGAUUAUAUUCGCUGACAUUGCCGGCUAGCUGAGCUGUUUUAACCUUUUUAAAGGCACCGUGUGAUUUUUCGGUCUAAUUUUAAAAACUUUUAUUUUUUAAAAAAAAUUAAAUGAAUUUUCUUAUUAUUUUAAUAUUCUAAUAUAAAAACAAAAAAAUUAAUCAAAAUCUCCCAAGGUUAGAUCUUUUUUUCCAUAAACUUUUUUCCUAGAAUAAAUCCUAUCGAUACAAAACAUAAUUUUUUUUAUGGCUGUAAUUGACGUGAAUAAAAACUUUAUUAUUUUAUUAUUGAAAUCCAGCUAUUUUUUUUUAUCUCUUUUUAAUCGGGAAUUUAAAAACCAGAAAAAUAAAGUGUUAUAUCAAAAUUAGAUUUUAAAAAUUUAAAGGACUGAAAAGAUAAAUUAAAAAAGUAAAAGGAUGAAAAUAAACAUUUCUACGCAUACCUUGAAAUCAAUACCCAUUUUACUUGUAUUUUUCACUUCAAUUUUUUAGUUUUUAAUUUUGUUAUUCCUGAAUAAUUUAACUUAAAUUGGCCUUAAAUCAGUGUUUCAUAGUGAGGGUGCUACGGGGGAAACACCACAUUUUCUAAAAUAAUAAUAAAAUAAUUGUGGUGUUAAGAUUUACCUGUGAUGUUCGGAUGUUAACAACUUACGAAUUACUAGUAAUCAAGGCCUCCCCCUUGUGAUGAUUCCAAACCAUCAUGGUUUCCCCACCCUAAGCAGUAGGUUCGGGGGUAAUCAGUAAGAAGGAGGGAGCCCUCUCCCGACAUUCCCGAAGCCUACUAUCAUCUCACCCCUAUAUUCGAGUCUGAGGACUCAACUAGACAGCUAGGUGAAAUAAAUGUGGGCCUGUUUGUAAUUAUAUUUCAAGUUAUUUUUUUAAAAAAUAUAUUAAAAUAAUAUUUUUUAUUCUAAAAUUUAUUUUUAAUAUUACAACAUCAAAAACAUCAAAACCAUUCGAAUUUAAAAACACAGUCCUCAACAGGCUUGAACUGAAACACGGGGGUUCAUAUCUGGCUUAUAUAAAUUUUAUUUUUAUAAAUGUAAAUGUGAUUAUUUUUUAAAAUAUUUUUUAUUUAUAAAUAUAUUAAAAUAUUAUUUUUUUAUUUUUUAAAAAUAAUUUUUAAAAUUAACAGGUCAAAAUGAUUUAAAAAUAUAAAAAAUAUUAAUUUAAAAUAAAAUAAUAAAAAAAAUUAAUUUUUUUUAAAUAUUUUUAAAACAUUAAAACAAACAAGGCAUGAUCCCUCCAAAAAUAUUUUAAAAAAAAACAUGUAAAAAGAUCUUAGUUUAAGGAGUCAACUAGGUGAAAAAACCAAAUAAAUAUCUUAAUUUAGUAUGUGGCUCGGCUUCGAUGGGAAUCUUGUGAGACUAGCUCAUAUCGCUUUUCAAAUGACAUCCCUCCUUGGAUUUUUUUUGGAAGAAACAUAUAAAAGGAUAUUACAAUAUGAUUAAACAUUUUUGAGCCUUUUCGAUUUAUAUUUUAAAUUCUCUUACAUUAGCCAUUUAAUCAUGAUCAACCUUAUAAACAUCAUGAUGACAUUCGUGUCAUCAAUAAUUAUCUUCUUUUAUUUGAUUUAUAUACCAAAUCGGAUAUUAAAUCUUUAAAGGUUUAGUUAAUAUAUAUAUAUAUAUAUCAAUAAUAGGGAUAAAAUAAAAAAAAUAUUUGAAAUUAUAUUACAAUGAGGUGGAAAACCACUAUUCACUGUACAAGUGAAACCACCUCUAAUUUUACAAGACCUCAAAAUUUAUGCUUUCAUGAUAAGUUGUUUUUUAAAAGAUUUUUUUAUAUAUAAAUAUUUUAAAAUAAUAUAUAUUUUUUAUUUUUUAAAAUUUAUUUUUUACAUAAUUUUUGACAUAACUAUAGAUUUUAAUCCUUUAUUUGUUGAAGGGGAUGUAAAAGUAAUUAUUUUUAUGUAUUUUUAAACCAAACAUCCCCUUCAACAAAUAAAGUGUUAAAAUCAAGGGAUAGAAUUAUUAUUUUUUUUUCAAAAAGAACUACUCUGGGAUUUCUUAAAGCCUCCUUUAACCAUUCAUCUAAAUAUAACAACUUAAAUUUCGCAAGUACUACCAGUCAUAGCUAAAUACUAUCACAAAAUCCAAUUAUUUAUAUAUACAUGACAAAUUGACAACUAGCAAAUAUAAAAGAUUCUUUGCCAUUAGACCCUUCAAAGUCUCGGAAAUUAUAAAAACAGAUUUGAAAAUGAAUAAUACUAUUUAAUUGUCCAGGCUCGGUUUACCAAUAAGAUUAUAUUAGAUUAUUAUAGCGCAUUUAAUAUUAUUAGUUUUUGGUUACAAGAAAAAAAUCAUCCUUGUGACUGGCCUUCACCUAACGGCGCUUGUAUCACUCACUGUCUCUGCCCCUCCCAUAACCCACGAUUGACGCAGUCACCGCUCCCCAAAAUAUCGUUGAGAUAAUAAUUAAAAAGAAAACAAUUAAAUAUACCAUGUAAGGGCGUCCACGUAACAUUCUCUCAGCCGUCGAUUGCGAUUACCAAACCCGAAUUCUUCAAAACUAACGGUUGCUAGAUAUUUGAUUAUUCGUGUUUAGCAGAUUUUUACCUGCUGAGCUAAUUAAAGUUACCGUUUCACCGCUAGUUUCGUUGUAAGAAAAGAAAAGAAAAGAAAAGAAAAAAAAAUCUAAACCUCUCCUCUUUUUGCGCAGAAACUGAAAAUAAAACCACCCCCAGAGGCCCCAUAGCUAAGUAAAGAAGAGAGCGGCAGCCCAAAAAAGAGCUAAAACUGAGAGAGAGAGAGAUCAAAUACAGAUCGAAAUCCCUGUUAAUGGGAUUGUUUCCCUAAACGGAAACAGGCAUUCUUUGAUUUGUUUUGGUUUCUUUUUAGGCAUCCAUAUCAAACUCCCUUUAAGCUUCUUGUUUCCAGAGUUCAAUGGAGGGCGACAAAAAGUACAUUACAGGCGAAGAGCUUAAGCAACACAACAAGGAGGGAGACUUGUGGAUCUCUAUCCAGGGAAAGGUUUAUAAUGUCUCUGAUUGGGCUCAUGAACAUCCAGGCGGAGAUGUACCUCUCCUGAAUCUGGCAGGCCAAGACGUUACUGAUGCAUUUAUUGCCUACCAUCCUGGAACAGCAUGGCAAUAUCUUGACAAGUUCUUUACAGGGUAUUAUCUCAAAGAUUUCAAGGUGUCAGAGACGUCCAAGGAUUACAGGAGGCUUGCUUCAGAGUUUGCGAAACUGGGUUUGUUUGAAAAGAAAGGACAUAUUACCAUGUAUGCCCUCGCAUCUAUUGCAUUGAUGUUUUGCGUUGUUCUUUAUGGUGUUUUGUGUUGCCAGAGUGUUUGGGCUCAUUUAGGAUCUGCUUUAGUGUUGGGUUUUCUUUGGAUUCAAAGUGCCUAUAUUGGUCAUGAUUCGGGGCAUUACCAGGUAAUGAAGAGUCGUGGUUAUAACAAAUUUGCUCAAUUUAUUGCUGGGAAUUCCCUCACAGGCAUUAGCAUUGCUUGGUGGAAAUGGACCCACAAUGCACACCAUCUUGCCUGCAACAGUCUUGAUUAUGAUCCUGAUCUUCAACACAUACCAGUCUUUGCGGUAAAUUCGACUUUUUUUAAUUCGAUAAAGUCUUGCUUUUAUGGAAGGUACUUGGAUUUUGAUCCUGUGGCAAGGUUUUUUGUGAGUUACCAACAUUGGACUUUUUAUCCAGUAAUGUGUGUUGCCAGGGUCAAUUUGUAUUUACAAACAUUCUUGCUAUUGUUUUCAAAGAGAAAAUUCCCAGAUAGAGCUUUGAACAUCUUGGGAAUCCUCAUCUUUUGGACUUGGUUCCCUCUACUUGUGUCUUGUCUCCCUAAUUGGCCUGAGAGGGUGAUGUUUGUGCUUGCAAGCUUUGCUGUUACCGCAAUUCAACACGUUCAAUUUUGUUUGAAUCAUUUUGCGGCCGAUGUUUACACUGGACCUCCAAAAGGGAAUGAUUGGUUUGAGAAACAGACAGGGGGGACUUUGGAUAUUUCGUGCUCAUCUUGGAUGGAUUGGUUUUACGGUGGUUUACAGUUUCAGCUUGAGCAUCACUUGUUUCCAAGGAUGCCAAGAGGCCAAUUGAGAAGGGUUUCACCGUUGGUACAGGAUCUAUGUAAGAAGCACAAUUUGUCUUACAGGAGCUUGUCCUUCUGGGAAGCCAAUGUGUGGACAAUCAGGAGACUCAGGAACGUUGCCCAGCAGGCUAGGGAUCUGUCCAACCCCGUCCCUAAAAAUAUGUUGUGGGAAGCUGUUAAUACUCAUGGAUGAAAGUCUACAUUUCUUGAAGGCUUGUCAAGAUUCAAUAAUGAUGAAAGCCCACUUAUCUUGAAGGCUGAUCAUCAGCAAUCAUUUUAUUUUCUUAUUUAAUUUUGAUUGCUCUGGUCUUUUACUUAUUUUGCUUCGUCGUUUAAUUUGGAAUUUUCUUCUGUUUUUCUCCUGAAUUUGGACCUCCAUUGACAGAGGUUGUAUUUGGUAUCGGGCGUAUUUGAUCACGCUUAUUAU